AAAAUUGACAAUGUUUAAUGGCCGGUAUUGAAUACUUUCUAGUUUAACGGUGCAAAAGGAUCCGAAUAGGUUGAAUUUUUGACAGAAAAUUCUAUUCACUACCUAGAUAAAGAUCAAGAACUCCGAUCUUAAAUUGAAGGAUCCGAUCAUCCAUUUUUAAGACAUCGUUCGAUUUUGACCGUUCAUUUUAUGCCCGCUUGAUGGACUUUAUUAUGAUUUUGAAAAAUUACGAAAUUUAUUUUCUAGAAGUUUCAAAUACUCUAGAUCAUAUUUAAUGAAGUGGAUCGUUGAUUCGGAAGCUCCAUCAUCGAAAACAACUUAUGAGUACGAAGGGCCCAAUACUCAUAAUAGUAUAGUAGCCCUACUCUCUCUCUCUCUCUCUCUCUCUCUCUCUCUCUCUCU
rnacentral:lncRNA from 1 species